UACGAAGGGGGCUAGCGUUGCUCGGAAUCACUGGGCGUAAAGCGCACGUAGGCGGAUUGUUAAGUCAGGGGUGAAAUCCUGGAGCUCAACUCCAGAACUGCCUUUGAUACUGGCGAUCUCGAGUCCGGGAGAGGUGAGUGGAACUGCGAGUGUAGAGGUGAAAUUCGUAGAUAUUCGCAAGAACACCAGUGGCGAAGGCGGCUCACUGGACCGGUAUUGACGCUGAGGUGCGAAAGCGUGGGGAGCAAAUAGG
rnacentral:rRNA from 1 species